CGUUACUUGAAAAGGGGAGUGAAUGAUUGGGGAAGAGUUGCAAACGAGGUUGAGACGGAGCAAAUUGUUCUUGAUGAAGAAGCUGGAUCAUGCAAGGGCAGAAUGAGUUCUUUGUGCAGAUACGUGGUUCAAUUCCCCUUUUCUGGUCACAAGAAGCUUCAAGAUUUAGUCCUAAACCUGAUAUAAUCUUGCAAAGGUAUGAUCCUACCUACCAGGCAAC
rnacentral:misc_RNA from 1 species